ensembl:lncRNA
UCAGAAUUGAGAGGGCCCCUGCAGUCGAAAGGAAGCCCCACGCUGGGUGAGGGGCCUUUCCUCUGUGCCUGGUCCUGUCCUUGUCUAUUCUACAUCCUGCAACUAAGGAUGGACUCUGCCUAGUUCACAACCGCCCUUCUGCAGCCAGCUUUGAAGCACGGAAUGUAGAAGGCGCCCAGUGAACACUUGAAUACACAAGUGCAAUAUUUUCAAUGAGUAAAAAACUCCAGAACACCAGAACUACAGUACCUGAAGUCAUAUCCAACCCUCCACUUUCUGGGUAGGAAAGGGCCAAAGCAGGAGAAUCUCAUGGAGCAGGUGGAUGACAGAGCCAAGAAUCCUGACUCCAGCUGUUUGGCAGAACAUUAAUCUUCUGGAGAGUUGCGUGGCUAGAAUAUGGAGCUUUUGCCUUCCCCAAAAAUCCCUCUGAAUAUAGCGUUAUUUGGGGUAGUACUGGCUCCCUGAGAAUCUGAGGGCUAUCCUCCAGCCAGUUCUGACCAGGCCUUGUGUGAGCUGCAGUGUUUAGGCUGCCACACGAGGGCGCUAUCAUUCUUCCUUUGCCUUGGGUCAGACCAGGACAGGCUUCACUCCAUCAGGAGUCCCAGAGUUUGGAGAAUACAGAGGGUCAUCUCCUUUUCUCAGGAUAGCUAAAAGCAAAACAGAUAUGGUUUAACAGAGGCCUCAAGCUAGAAAGCAGGAGUUCUUUUAUGGGGGUUUGCUAGUAACCCUUUAGGUGCUUAGCACUCAAAGUAUGGCAUCACUUGUUAUAAAAGAAUAUUGGACUGACUCCAGAUCUUGGGUAAGUGCCCACACCAGUGCUUCUCAAACUCAGCCGGCGUUCCUGCUAAAAGGCAGAUUCUGACUGGGUAGGUCAAAAUAGGGCUCGAGAGUCUACAGAUCUAAGAAGCUCCCAGUGAUGCUGAUCUUUGACCGUAUUUUGACUUCAAAAGAACCUUGAAGGAGCCUCAGUUUCUUCAUCUGUAAGAUCAAGAUCACACCAAUUCUGUCCAUCACGUGAGAUGAUGGAUGCGGAAGCGAUCCAAGACAAACAAGAAGGAUAAAGGUAUUGUGAACAGUAGGAGUGUAACUUGCCUUCUGAAGCCCCACUAGCAGUGCAAGGAGCAGCUGACCCAGCCCUAUUUGUUUUAAAAUGGCUCAGUUUACAACUUCACCAAAAACACAGGACCACAUGAACACCUUGCUAGGGCCCUUCCUGGGGCCUAGAGGAGGCUCAAGGAGAUGCAGUCACCAACCUCCGUGAUCCAGACCAAGCCUCACCUCGAGAGCCAAGCGUAUGACCUUUGCCUUAUUUUUAAUGCUGAGAUCUCUCCAGGAGGAGCUUAGCCCUUAUUACCCUGACCUGCAGUGUAUGUGGAAGCGUGUUUUCCAACGGAGCCUGUGCAAGAGAACACCCACUUCUUCCUUUUGAAUAUUUAUUCCCCAUCCGACAUAAAUGUCCCUGCUUUCCUUUGUUCGGGGACGCCACGACUCUGGAAAUGAUUCCGCUUGGUCUCCUAUUUGCCGCAAAUACACUUCACUUUGUGAGACAACUACUUCUGGUGGAGAGUUGGAUUGAACUGGCCAGGAGGGAACCCACUUUGGUUUCGGUAACACUUCUUCUGUGGGCAGUUGUGUGAGGAGGCUCGUGAGCAGAGAUGACUGCGCAGCUGGCUUCCUGGAGUCCAUGCUGUGGGGUCCCAGAGGACCAGUGUAGGUGGGCCUCAUCCAAUCAGUGGAA